ACUGACUCAGCCUAUACAUCUAAGAUGUACAGAUGUAUGGAUGACAUUUGAUUUAUAUAUAUAUAUAUUAAUCAAAUGUCAUCCAUACAUCUGUACAUCUUAGAUGUAUAGGCUGAGUCAGU